rnacentral:rRNA from 1 species
GGGAUGACGUCAAGUCAUCAUGGCCCUUAUAGGUGGGGCUACACACGUCAUACAAUGGCUGGUACAGAGGGUUGCCAACCCGCGAGGGGGAGCUAAUCCCAUAAAGCCAGUCGUAGUCCGAUCGCAGUCUGCAACUCGACUGCGUGAAGUCGGAAUCGCUAGUAAUCGCGGAUCAGAACGUCACGGUGAAUACGUUCCCGGGCCUUGUACACACCGCCCGUCACACCAUGGGAGUGGGUUGCUCCAGAAGUAGCUAGUCUAACCGCAAGGGGGCAGGUUACCACGGAGUGA